UAACCAGUCAGCGACAAGCACGUGUUUUCGUAAAAGUAAAACCCAAACCAAAACCCCACUCACAACGAAGCUGGUAGAAAGAAAGAGCGAUUCAGUGCGAAAGUGAAAGCUAUCGAUGGCGUCAGGCGGCAACGGCGGAGGUCUGGAGUGGCACGUGCGGCCUCCAAACCCUAAGAAUCCAAUCGUCUUCUUCGAUAUUACCAUCGGUACAAUUCCUGCCGCUUGUAUCAAAAUGGAACUCUUCACCGACAUCGCCCCUAAAACCGCCGAAAAUUUCAGGCAGUUGUGCACCGGUGAGUUCAGAACACAAAAGCAGGAUUGCCUGUUGGUUACAAGGGAUGCCAGUUCCAUAGAGUGAUAAAGGAUUUUAUGAUUCAAGCGGGUGAUUUUGUCAAGCCAAAAAACAAUUAGAGAGACUUCUAAAUAGAGGGUUGCGAUAGUCUGACAGGUCUACCUGAAGGGAUGCAAUUAAAAUACUUGACUAUAAACGACUGUGACCAAUUGGUAGAAAGAUACAGAAACAACAUGAGUAUUGUCUGCUCAUAUUCCAAAUAGGCGGAUUUAAAGUACAAAAAGAUUAAAGAAUCAAUUUCGAAUAACCAUAGACUAGUUGCAUCGAGAAGAACCGCCUUGAUUGUUUCGACUGUGUCUUUGCGCUUUCUGAUCUCGUCUCUAACUCCACUGGCCAGAUCGAUUUGUUGAAAAACUUGGGAUCCCAACACUUCCAAGAGCUUCCAGGCGGCAUCGAACACUACUCCUUCCGCCAUUUCUCUUUCGUUGCAGCUGGCAAUGCUAAUGAAAUUAUUUGUCAGGUCCGAUUGGUGAAUGAAGAGUGAAGACUCUGAAAGAGUAUUAUUGAAACGUUGAAGACGAACUUGUUGAACUUGAAGCCGUCACUUGAAUCGAAAGGUCCCUAAAUUGUAAUCAUGUUUUUUUAGUCCACUAAUAUUUUAUUUGUGAAAACAGUGAUUUAAGAAAACAUAAUCAAAAUAAGAUUUAAAAUUUGUUUAAGAGAGACAAAGUGAGAUUAUUCUGAUUCUUUUAUAAAUUUUCUUGUUAUACAAUGGUCAAAAGGUUUUUUCAAUUUCUUUCAUUUGAGGAAAAUCCGGGAUAGGCGGCCCUCCUAGAGAGAGCGGUGUGCAUGAACCAGGUGUGUGGGGAUGCAGCUCCGUGGACCCCUCGUGGGGCCUGAUGGCUGAUAGGUGGUGGUAUCACACCCUUCUCAAAGGAGCCGUACAUAAUACUCUCGCGUCGCGUCAGAUGGCUCCGUCUCGAAAUUGGCUUAGUGUUCUCAUAAAGCUGUAAGGAUUCGUGUUAUUAA